GAUGAAGAACGCAGCGAAAUGCGAUAAGUAAUGUGAAUUGCAGAAUUCAGUGAAUCAUCGAAUCUUUGAACGCACAUUGCGCCCAUUAGUAUUCUAGUGGGCAUGCCUGUUCGAGCGUCAUUUCAACCCUUAAGCCUAGCUUAGUAUUGGGAAUCGACUUUACUGUCGUUCCUCAAAUUCAACGGCGGAUUUAUAGCAAUCUCUGAACGUAGUAAUUUUUUUUCUCGUUUUUGAAAUACUAUAAACCUCAGCCGCUAAACCCCCAAUUUCUUAUGGUUGACCUCGGAUCAGGUAGGAACACCCGCUGAACUUAAGCAUAUCAAUAAGCGGAGGA
rnacentral:misc_RNA from 1 species